rnacentral:rRNA from 1 species
UACGGGGGGAGCAAGCGUUGUUCGGAUUUACUGGGCGUAAAGGGCGCGUAGGCGGCCAGUGCAAGUCAGUUGUGAAAUCUCCGAGCUUAACUCGGAAAGGUCAACUGAUACUGCUCGGCUAGGGUGCGGAAGGGGCAACUGGAAUUCUUGGUGUAGCGGUGAAAUGCGUAGAUAUCAAGAGGAACACCUGCGGCGAAGGCGGGUUGCUGGGCCGACACUGACGCUGAUGCGCGAAAGCUAGGGGAGCGAACGGG